rnacentral:rRNA from 1 species
GACGAACCGAGCGAACGUUAUUCGGAAUCACUGGGCUUAAAGGGUGCGUAGGCGGGCCCGUCAGUCAGGGGUGAAAUCCCACGGCCCAACCGUGGAAGUGCCUCUGAUACUGCGGGCCUGGAGGGGGAUAGGGGCGUGCGGAACUUCCGGUGGAGCGGUGAAAUGCGUAGAUAUCGGAAGGAACACCAGUGGCGAAAGCGGCUUCCUGGUCCAGCACCGACGUUCAGGCACGAAAGCGUGGGGAGCAAACAGG